rnacentral:tRNA from 1 species
UCCCUGGUGGUCCAGUGGCUAAGACUCUGCGCUCCCGAUGUAGGGGCCUGGGUUCAAUCCCUGAUCAGGGAA